UGGCCUCGGAUCAGGGAGGA
rnacentral:rRNA from 1 species